CACCUGAGAAAGAAAGAGAUCUUACUGUCUGUAAUUAGAAUUUUCUUCUUUGUGUUUAUGCCUGCUUGCUGAAUUUAAAAAUAUAUAUCUUUAGAAGAAAGGUUUAAGUAUAAAAUGAUUACUGUAAAUUACUCCUUUGGUGCUUACCAGAUGCUCUACUCUGAAGGCAGACUAAGCUCCAAAAACAUACCUGCUAUCAUUUACAUGAGGCAGGUGUUUUACAUACCCCCAUUUUGGGCAAGGUCACGUCUGAUUUUUGAGAUCCACAGAAGUUUUGUCCCGUAUCAGCUAUCAUUUUGCCAAGAAAUAUCAUCCAUGCAUAGAACUGCAAGCUCAUCAUGACAGUGAACCCUCUUGCAGUCCCUGGGGCCAGUUCUCUGGCCAGGCUGGAUGUGGCUCUGGGCAGCCUGGGCUGCUGGUUGGCGACGCUGCACAUAGCAGGGGGUUGGGGCUGGAUGAGCACUGUGGUCCCUUGCAACCCAGGCCAUUCUGUGAUUCCAUGAUUCACUGAGGGCUUCUUGGCAACCAUCCCCAAACCAGACGCCCAUUUCAAGUUCCUCCCCUGAACAACCCCUGCAGCCAGCAGAGCAAGGCAGCCAGCUUCCAAGCCUCAGGAUGAGGUGCCGUCUUGGUGGCCUCUUUCUCUACAACAACCAGCUCACACCGAGCUGUUGGACUCCUGGAGUUGGAUGAAAUGAAUUCUCGUUGGUUCCACACAGAAGAAAUAAACAGAAGUCGACGUUCCCUUACCCACUUUCUUUUCUGAAGAAUAUGUAGCUUGCCUCCCCUUCAUACGGCUUGAAAUCCACGCAGGACUUAAGGCGGAACAUUUCAAGUGCCUGGAGAAUGACUCCUUUGGCAUUCAGAUCUGGAGAACAAAUAUGAACAGAGCAUCCUUAGCACACAGGGGUGGUUCGCCCCAGAGAGGUAAUGCACAUGGGUUUAUGUAUGGGGCCAAAGGGAUAAUGAAUGAAAACAGAACUGAUUGAAUUUGAUGAAACUACGUUUUGUUCUGAUAGCUGUAGGAGAAAAGGGGGGUUUGAUGCAAAGGAGCAAUCUGGUUAUUAGUGAAUAUCAAUGGGAGAGAACCAGCUCUGAAAAAAGCAAACUUUUUAGCACGCUGAUUCCAGUGCAAACAAAUACUGCAGUUAGAAGAUGAAUAAAGUGUGAGCAUUACCUAAGUCAUCACCGAGGAUAUAGGGAAUGGGGAACUUCCAUCUGUAGGUGUCAUUUCGUAAGGCAUUUCGCUGGUUAGUCUGGAAAGAGAAUGGACAGCUGGUGAUGCAGGUGCUGUGUAGAGAUGGGCUGAUGUGUGCCAAACAUACAAGUAGGGUAAAUGCAAGCAGUAACGUUUUUGUAAUUACUUACAGGAAGCAAGAUAUCACCCUGAAAGAGGUCCAAUCCAGCAGCUGAAAAGCAAUUUGUUGAAAGGACUGCAAGAGGAUCCCAAGGGUGCAGUGCUUCUGCUCCUCUCAUGUGACCCUAUCUGUGUUACCAUGAAGGCUGAGUAAGGAUUUUCAAAUAUAUUUGUGAGAAGGUGAACUUACUGCAGGUGUACACAGCAUUCAGCCUCGCCUGUGCUGAGCUGGGGCUGUUACCAAGGGAUAACACCUGAAGGGUACAGCAGAGCAACACGUGUCUUCCUGCAAUCAGGAUUUCCUGCCCUGGUUAUCCAGAGAUCUCAGCCAGAUUGAAUGAUGUUGCUUAAAUCGGCCCAGUUUGCAUCAAGCUCUUCCCUGGGACUGCACCUGGCAGCAAGGAGUGCUGGAGCACUGUCACAGCAGCAGCAAGGAGUGCUGGAGCACUGCCACCUGGCAGCAAGGUUUGUCACUGGCCAACAGCAGCACAGCGUGAGCAGAGCACACCGGGACAGCAAAUGGAACAACGGCAGCAGCCCAGAGAGCUGCACAAAACCAGAGUACAUCCAAUGCAAGCAAUGCAACGCUACCACAGCAAAAGUGUUGAUCAGCCAUCCUUCAGACACGAUGCAGGGAAUGGGAAAGUGACAUCUGGAGGAGCUCCUCCUCAGAGCAGCUGCUUCUCUCCUGCAGUUGAUGGCACAAACUCACUUGUGUUAACAUGUGAGCCUUACCGACACUCUCGCUGGUGGUUGUUCACAGCUGCAGCACAUUCAGUACCAUCGUACUGUAAAGUAAAGUAGAGGAGGUUUAGGAUAGAUGUUAGGCAGAAAUCCUUCCCUCAGAGGGCGGUGAGGCGCUGGCACUGCCCAGAGCUGUGGUGCCCCAUCCCUGGAGGUGUCUGAGGCCAUGGAUGGGCCCUGGGCAGCCUGAGCUGGGGGCACCCAGCACAUGGAGGGGGCUUGGGAGUGGGUGAUCUCUAAGGUCUCCUCCAGUCUGACCCAUUCUAUAAUUCUAUGAUCCUUUGGAAGGUAAGGUCACCCAAAAGAACCAGUCAACACUUAAACACUUUUUCUGAGCUCAAGAUUGGUACACCCCUAAGAGUAAUACAUCAGGGAAUGGUGGAAGGAGAUCUGCAUGGAUGAGCAAGGAGCUCAAGGGGAAGAAAAAAGUCCAUGAGAUGUGGAAAAAGGGUCUGCCUACUUUGGAUGAACAUAGGAACGUCGUCAGGGCCUGCAGAGAUGCAACAAGGAAGGCUCCAAAAAGCAGCCUUCCUGUUUCUGAAAUGAGACAAACAUCGAUGUAGGCCACGUAACAUACCAAGAACAACAGGAUGUUUUUCUGAAAGACAAAACCACGUCCCCAAUCAGCACAUCUCUGCUUAACCAG